GACGAACCGUGCGAACGUUGUUCGGAAUCACUGGGCUUAAAGGGCGCGUAGGCGGAUUGCCAAGUCUGUGGUGAAAUCCUCUGGCUUAACCAGAGAACUGCCGUGGAUACUGGUGAUCUCGAGGGAGAUAGGGGUAUGUGGAACUAUUGGUGGAGCGGUGAAAUGCGUUGAUAUCAAUAGGAACUCCGGUGGCGAAGGCGACAUACUGGAUCUCUUCUGACGCUGAGGCGCGAAAGCUAGGGGAGCGAACGGG
rnacentral:rRNA from 1 species